rnacentral:tRNA from 1 species
GCCGGGGUCGCCUAGCCUGGUAGGGCGCGCGCCUGGAAAGCGCGUGCUCGCAAGGGAACGGGAGUUCAAAUCUCCCUCCCGGCGCCA